GACGAACGCUGGCGGCGUGCUUAACACAUGCAAGUCGAGCGGUAAGGCCCUUUCGGGGGUACACGAGCGGCGAACGGGUGAGUAACACGUGGGUGACCUGCCCUCAGCUCUGGGAUAAGCCUGGGAAACCGGGUCUAAUACUGGAUAUGACUCCAUGACGCAUGUUGUGGGUGGAAAGCCUUGUGCGGCUGAGGAUGGGCCCGCGGCCUAUCGGCUUGUUGGUGGGGUGAUGGCCUACCAAGGCGACGACGGGUAGCCGGCCUGAGAGGGCGACCGGCCACACUGGGACUGAGACACGGCCCAGACUCCUACGGGAGGCAGCAGUGGGGAAUCUUGCGCAAUGGGCGAAAGCCUGACGCAGCGACGCCGCGUGAGGGAUGACGGCCU
rnacentral:rRNA from 1 species